UACGGAGGAUGCGAGCGUUAUCCGGAUUUAUUGGGUUUAAAGGGUGCGUAGGCGGGCUUUUAAGUCAGCGGUAAAAAUUCGGGGCUCAACCCCGUCCGGCCAUUGAAACUGGGGGUCUUGAGUGGGCGAGAAGAAGGCGGAAUGCGUGGUGUAGCGGUGAAAUGCAUAGAUAUCACGCAGAACCCCGAUUGCGAAGGCAGCCUUCCGGCGCCCUACUGACGCUGAGGCACGAAAGUGCGGGGAUCGAACAGG
rnacentral:rRNA from 1 species